CAGCCGUAAACAAUGUGCGUUAGGUGUGUCGGUAACCACGCGUUACUGAUGCGCCGAAGAGAAAUCGUGAAACGCACCACCUGGGAAGUACGGUCGCAAGGCUGAAACUUAAAGGAAUUGGCGGGGGAGCACCACAACAGGUGGAGCCUGCGGUUUAAUUGGAUUCAACGCCGGACAUCUCACCGGAUAAGACAGCUGAAUGAUUGUCAAUCUGAAGGUCUUACAUGACUAGCUGAGAGGAGGUGCAUGGCGUCAGUG
rnacentral:rRNA from 1 species